CUUUCAUUCACGAUUCCUCAAGUUCCAUCACCUCCCCCAUCGUUACCAUCGCCACCACUCCUCCGCCGACGCCAUCACCAACAACAACACCACCACCAGAAUAACCAGUGUCGCCACCUUCUCUGCUACAUAACAUCUCUCUUUAUCGAGCAGAACCACCACCAACACCAGUAGCGCUACGCCACCAUAACAACUACCAGUACCGUCGUUACCGUCGACUAAUUUCUCUAUUUCGAUUUCACUCUUCUCAAUUUUGGUCAGUCGUUCAUGACAACCAUUACAUCAUCAGCACCACCGAACCAGCUCCACCAUGAAAUUCAUACAUACACCAUCUUAUCAAUUUACUUCAGGUACGAUUUUUUUCCCGAUUUCAAUUAUGGAUUUCAAUUUCCCAGUUUUAAUUUCUAUUCAUACAAUUCAAUUUCGAUUGUUAACACCCUCCUCCUUCACCACUUUCAGUUUCGUAGACAAAACAAUUUAAUUCACAUAGCAGGCAAUGAUUCUUAUUUUCCAAAUUUCAGAUAUACAAGUAAUGAUAUAAAUUACAGGUAUAUAUGUAUCUCCACAUCAACAGUUAAUGUAGCAUAAACAUUUUAAUUUUUCCCCAGAGAUUAUUUCAACAGGGUUCAUAAAAUCCUUAAAUUUCAUAUGUUUACAUUGACUUCGCAAAAUUGGUUGUUUUGGUUUAUAUUCGUAAGAAAAUAUAAAAAUUGGUGGCUUUGUUAUUCGACUUUGUUCUUCAACGGAUUUUUCUUAAAUACGAAAAUAUAUUUGUGGGCAUACAAUAGUUUACUUUAUGGAUUCAGUCUAGUGUUCAAAAUUUUAGGUUAUAUGUUUGAAAUGUCUAUUGUAACAUUUCCUUUGAAAUUUAUCACCACAAGUUAAAAUGGGUGUGUUCAAAAGGCAGAGAUUUGAUGUAGAUUUUCGAAGCAACCAAGAGAUGCGCAACUCCGAUAAUUUACAUUGUCGGUUGCGCUUUUAAUGCCAAAAUAUUAUCAAACAACUUUCAUGAAAUAAUCUAAUCUAUGGAGACUAUUGGAUGCAUAGAUUAACGCUGACGAUGAGGAUGCACAUAUAUGAGAACUUCAUUGCAGAGUGUGAGAAAUCAGUUGAAAACAUCUUCUAGGGCUAUGAUUUUCACAUCUUUGGUGGUUCAGAUAAUUAUGUUAUAUUUGAGCCAUGAGCUCGGAAACCAUGUCGAAUGUUUUAAAGCUAUGGACUAUAAACUCAGUGGUGAAGCAAGAAGGAAAACUAGCGAGUCCAGUGAUUAGAACGAAGAUGAGAAAGUAGCAAGUGUGGUGAUUUGUACAUUGCGGAGGUUGGGGAGUGCGAUUUGAUCUUUUCAAUUUGAAAUACAGUGAAGCUUCGUUACUGUUAUGGUGAUCUUAAAUGCUUGCAUAUGCUUAGAUUGAUAUCGCCACACGUAGACUAUGUAGUCUAUAUUAGAGAUUGGAAAAUCAUUUGUAACGUUUGCCAAUAUGAUAUGCGCUGUUUUAUGCGCUGCUGUCGGGAUUCCCACUUGGUUGGGCUCAUUUGAAGCUUAUGAAGACGGUAGAUGAACAAAGGCUGGCUUAUGAAACUGUGCGACCAGUUAUGGGAGAAGAAAAGGCUGGGGUUGGUGGUACCAUUGAUAGGCUUGAGGAAAACUUCAGAAAAUUGAAAUAACAGAUGCAAGAAGAAAUUUAUAUCUAGGCAAAGAAAUGAAACAGAGAAGUGAAGCAACUUGACAUAUUUUUGAAGAAGUAAUAUGACUCAUACAUACACCACGCAUCCAUUUUUCCCAUUGCAAUGUGCUAUCACAACUAAAUCCGACUUUCAUUAAUAAAGAAAAUGUUAGAAAUUUCACUUUUAUCGAGGUGUCAUAGUUUUCCAACGUGCAACGCACGUGCACUCUAUUUGUAUGUUUAAGUAUCCAAUUUCAAUUUAAUGGAUCAAUAUGAAAAAUAAAAUUAUCAUUUCAAAAUGAUAUUAAGUCCA